rnacentral:rRNA from 1 species
GACGAGUGGUGCAAGUGUUAUUCCUCGUGACUGGGCGUAUAGGGUGCGUAGGCGGUGUAAAAAGUUUUCAAUUAAAUGCACAUACGUGGAACAAAUUGAUCAAACUAUUACACUAGAGUAUAGUAGAAGAUAGCGGAACUUAUUGCAUUAGAGUUAAAAUGCGUUUAAAAACAAUAAGUAACACCAGAGGCGAAGGCGGCUAUCUAGAACUAUACUGACGCUGAGGCACGAAGGCAUGGGGAUCAAAUGGG